CACGUAGUUAGCCGGGGCUUCUUAGUCAGGUACCGUCAUUUUCUUCCCUGCUGAUAGAGCUUUACAUACCGAAAUACUUCAUCGCUCACGCGGCGUCGCUGCAUCAGGGUUUUCCCCCAUUGUGCAAUAUUCCCCACUGCUGCCUCCCGUAGGAGUCUGGGCCGUGUCUCAGUCCCAAUGUGGCCGUCCACCCUCUCAGGCCGGCUACUGAUCGUCGGCUUGGUGGGCCGUUACCCCACCAACUACCUAAUCAGACGCGGGUCCAUCUUACACCACCUCAGUUUUUACCACUGUACCAUGCAGUACUGUGAUCUUAUGCGGUAUUAGCAGUCAUUUCUAACUGUUAUCCCCCUGUGUAAGGCAGGUUACCCACGCGUUACUCACCCGUCCGCCGCUCAGUCACAAAAGUCUUCCUCCGAAGAUUCUGACUUAAGCGCUUCGCUCGACUUGCAUGUGUUAGGCACGCCGCCAGCGUUCAUCCUGAGCCAGGAUCAAACUC
rnacentral:rRNA from 1 species